rnacentral:misc_RNA from 1 species
UGGAACUGUCCGAAUAUUACAUCCUUGCCAAAUGCAAUGCAGCACCUGACCUCACUUGAAUAUCUUUCAAUCUGGCAGUGUCCAAAUUUGGAGCAGAGGUNNNNAAGAGGGAGGAAGGAGAAGAUUGGCAUAAGAUAGAACAUGUUCUGGAGAUUGACAUUAAAGGCCUAGGCAUCAUAAUAGAACAAUCGAAGGCACUGGAC